rnacentral:rRNA from 1 species
GAUGAACGCUGGCGGCGUGCUUAAUACAUGCAAGUCGAACGCUGAAGGCGGAGCUUUCUCUUCUGGACGAGUUGCGAACGGGUGAGUAACGCGUAGGUAACCUGCCUGGUAGCGGGGGAUAACUACUGGAAACUAUAGCUAAUACCGCAUGACAACAGUUACUGCAUGAUAACUGUUUGAAAGGGGCAACUGCUCCACUACCAGAUGGACCUGCGUUGGUUUAGGUAGUUGGUGAGGUAACGGCUCACCAAGGCGAGGAUACAUAGCCGACCUGAGAGGGGGGUCGGCCAGACUGGGAGGGAGACACGGCACAGAGGGAUACGGGAGGCGGCAGUAGGGAAUCGGCGGGAAUGGACGGAAGUCUGACCGAGCAGGGCCGAAUGAGUGAGGAAGGAUUUCGGACCGUGGAGCUCUGUUGUAAGGGUAGAACGCGUGUGCGAGUGGAAAGUACACAGUGUGACGGUAACUGACAAGAAAGGAACGGCUAACUACGUG